UGGAAGCCGAACAUGAUCAUUUUUCUGAAGCUCACUCACACGUAGCUCUUGAAUAUUCUGAAACAAAAACAUAGCUCUUCACUAAUCCCCUUUUCAUGUCCUUCCGUCCCCUCGCUCCACCAAAAUUGCUUCCACUCGAGCUCAAGAUUCCCAACAACACCUCAAUUCCCCUGUUGAUUCCCUGCCGUGGCCUUGCUCGUCCUCACCUGCACGCACCGCUGCAGCUCGGCUCACUGGUGCGGCCACGGGGCGAGCCUAGUUUCGCUCGCUGUACGCCUCCUUGAUCUCUCAGGCCGGUCAACAGCGACGGAGGGGUAGUAGGGCUCGAUGAGAAGCUGCGCCAUGGAGGAUGCGAGCUUGCCGAUCUUGAAUGUGUCGUCGUCGUUAGCGUCCUUGGAGGCGAUGUGGGCGUGGAUCUCAUCUCCCGGAGCCAGCUUGGAUCCACAUCGAUUGUGAGGAUGCUGGCGGCUUUGUUUUCCCUCGCAUCGUGGUUGUCCCCGAGCAAGGCAGCCCGGUAGGUCCUCUUCAUCCUCGACAGUGGCAGCCUGAAUUCGGCGACUCUUUCUUCCACCUAGAGUCUAUUGGUACAGCAAAAUAUAUGCAAGGGCAAUGAACUGCAAUUUAGGCUUUUCACACACGAGCAAGUGUUUCGACAGGUUAGUAUGUUGUUGUAUAUGAUUCUCAUAGUAUUCCAACAUUGUUAUAUCCUUUCUCUUCCACUUUGCACCUUCUUUUAAUGUGUAAUGUGUAUUUUGUCUCUACCCAUCUUCUCCGUAGGGGAAUAAUAAUAUAUACUGCAUAGCCAUGAAUUUUGAAUGGUUCUCGGAUAUAGGUCUCAUGUCUUUGUACUGAACAAUGAUAUCUCGCCCUUUUCUAUUCUGUGUUGUAUCAUUCACAAUCAAGGCUGCAACUUCAGUUGCAGAUGGCAUGUCAUGUUGUCUUAAUCUCAUGUUGUGGUAGCCACCUUUUCAAGUUUAUCCCUUGCCAUUCUGAGUGUUUUAGCUAGUACUCCUGAUUUUGCCGCAGUCUUGGUUAAGCCAUACUACAUGGAAAUUUGUUCGCAUGUUGUUUUGACAAAGAAAUAAUUGGUAGCUACGGUCAGGACCAAAUGUAGCAUGUUUUUUUUAUUUUAAUACACCACUUUAAAUUAGUUGCAGAUCAUAUGGAACUGCAUAGGCGGACGGGCUUGAUAACCAUUUGCGGAUGGUAAACUGUGUAUGAUCAGAUAUUUGUACAUCAAAUACACUGGGUUAUUGAAGAAACUUUUGUAAGCCUGGAAACAAUGGAAGACAUAGAUAACACAAUUGUUGCUCAAAGCAGAAGCAAUCUAUAAUAUUGUUUCCAGUACACCUUACUACAUUCGUGCACCAUGUAAGAGAAGUUUAGCAGUUGAAUUCAAAGUAGUAAGUAAAGAUAAGUGGAUGAUAAUACACAUAAAGAAAUAAGUCUGUACAAUUUUCUUCACGCACGUGGUUCAGAGGUUCUUCUUUUGGCAUAUUUGUGCAGUCUGGCACAUCUCCAUCUAUGAUCGAAUGUUUUCUCAUUUUCUUGUCAGUAAGAAAUAAUUUGAAAUAUUUUCCUGGUCCAAGCUUAAACCACUAACCCAAGUGUGCCUACUUGAAUCAAAAUCCAAGCUAUUUUCUUAUAAUACCACCUAUUAAAGAUUCAUGGUUAGUAAUGGAUCAGCUUGUGGUAUUACAUAUUUGAUACUUUUAACCACCUUGGCAGAUUUCUAACAUUUUUGCUAUGUGGCCCACCUUUUAUUUCCUUUGGUUCUUCCUGCACAAUGGAUAAGAUGAGAUAUUGUAAAAUCGUUGUGUAGUACUGCUCAAGGUUAUGAAGAUUUAUGAUUUGGAUAUUUUUUCUACUUAUAAAAUUUCGUCUUUGUUGUAGAAAGGAGAUCAACUUCCAAGACCAGUGGAUGUUAAGUUCCAAUCUUCAGUUGAAAACACAAAUAUUUUCUAUAUGAUCUCUGUAGAUGGUACUUGCCGGAGGUGGUUUGCUUGCUCGAUGGAGCCGAUCAAUCAAGGAGAUUUGGACACUCGCUCGUGAGAGUUACUUUUUUUUAGGGAAAGCCAUUAUGACGGUGUAUAUUGAUUUGCAAUAAUAGCUACAUCAGCCGUAAGGACGGCAAGUUAAAAAGCUGGAGGUUGCUUGUCAUGGAUAUGAGUCCAACCUAUUGUGAGUUUUGUUUUUGGGACCGUGAGAUUGAUUGUAAGAUUGGUGUGAAGAACAUGACAUGGAUGGUAAAAUUGAUCGUGAGAUUAGUGUUUU